rnacentral:rRNA from 1 species
GACGAACGCUGGCGGCGUGCUUAACACAUGCAAGUCGUACGGUAAGGCCCUUUCGGGGGUACACGAGUGGCGAACGGGUGAGUAACACGUGAGUAACCUGCCCACAACUUUGGGAUAACGCUAGGAAACUGGUGCUAAUACUGGAUAUGUGCUCCUGCUGCAUGGUGGGGGUUGGAAAGCUCCGGCGGUUGUGGAUGGACUCGCGGCCUAUCAGCUUGUUGGUGGGGUAGUGGCCUACCAAGGCGGCGACGGGUAGCCGGCCUGAGAGGGUGACCGGCCACAUUGGGACUGAGAGAAGGCACAGGCGCCUAAGGGAGGAAGCAGUGGGGAAUAUUGCACAAUGGGCGCAAGGCUGAUGCAGAAAGGCCGCGGGCGGGAUGACCGUCUUGGGGUUGUAAACAGCUUUCAGCAGAGACGAAGCUUUUUGUGACGGUACCUGAAGAAGAAGCACCGGCUAACUACGUG